GGGAAUGUGGCUUAGUGGUAGAGUGCUUGCCUAACAGGCAUGAAGUCUGGGUCCAAUUCCUCAGUACCA
rnacentral:tRNA from 1 species